UGCUAGUCUGAUGGUAGUGGGUUAUCAGCACUUAUUAACAUUAGCAUCACCAAAGUUGGUAUAUAAUCCCUCAAUGCUAAAUUUGACUGGCUUUUA
rnacentral:Y_RNA from 1 species